AGGGAUCUUUUAUUUUACUUUAAAAAUUUGGAUUUGAUAUAAAGAUUUUGUUA
rnacentral:tRNA from 1 species